rnacentral:ncRNA from 2 species
AGUAAAGAUAGAGGCAGCAUUGCAUCAGAGUAAAACAUGGAGUUGGCAGACUGUGAAGUGUUUGAAAGGUAACCAAUGCCGAAAGAAGUAAAAUGGCAAUUUUAUUUCUUGGGGUUAUAAGGAAUACUUAUAACACUCCUUCGUCAGGAAGAGGCGUUAUCUUAUAG